rfam:Schistosoma curassoni strain Dakar, Senegal genome assembly, scaffold: SCTD_scaffold0000781
AUCCAACAGACGAGUCUCAAAUAGGACAAAACGCGCGUCCUUGAU